AGUGAACGCUGGCGGUAGGCCUAACACAUGCAAGUCGAACGGCAGCACAGUAAGAGCUUGCUCUUACGGGUGGCGAGUGGCGGACGGGUGAGGAAUACAUCGGAAUCUACUUUUUCGUGGGGGAUAACGUAGGGAAACUUACGCUAAUACCGCAUACGACCUACGGGUGAAAGCAGGGGAUCUUCUGACCUUGCGCGAUUGAAUGAGCCGAUGUCGGGUUAGCUAGUUGGCGGGGUAAAGGCCCACCAAGGCGACGAUCCGUAGCUGGUCUGAGAGGAUGAUCAGCCACACUGGAACUGAGACACGGUCCAGACUCCUGCGGGAGGCAGCAGUGGAGAAUAUUGGACAAUGGGCGCAAGCCUGAUCCAGCCAUACCGCGUGGGUGAAGAAGGCCUUCGGGUUGUAAAGCCCUUUUGUUGGGAAAGAAAAGCAGCAGGUUAAUACCCCGCUGUUCUGACGGUACCCAAAGAAUAAGCACCGGCUAACUUCGUG
rnacentral:rRNA from 1 species